UACGGGGGGAGCAAGCGUUGUUCGGAUUUACUGGGCGUAAAGGGCGCGUAGGCGGUCGUGACAAGUCACUUGUGAAAUCUCCGGGCUUAACUCGGAACGGUCAAGUGAUACUGUCGGACUAGAGUGAUGUAGGGGAGACUGGAAUUCCUGGUGUAGCGGUGAAAUGCGCAGAUAUCAGGAGGAACACCGAUGGCGAAGGCAGGUCUCUGGGCAUUAACUGACGCUGAGGAGCGAAAGCAUGGGGAGCGAACAGG
rnacentral:rRNA from 1 species